rnacentral:lncRNA from 1 species
UGUAAAAGGUGGUGAGUUGGGGUCAAUUGGAAAGACACCUGGAGCACUUGGAGUGCCUGGAUAAAUGAUAGGUGUAGUGGGGGUGGUAGGAGUCGGGGAGUAACCACCCCCUGGAGUGCUUGGAGUUCCGGGGUCAAUGGUAGGAGUAGGUGGUGUUUCAAUGAUUGGAGUAGUUGGGGUAGUAGGUGUAGGGGAAGGAUAGUAACCACCACCCCCUGGAGUGCUUGGAGUACCAGGGUCAACGGUAGGCGUAGGUGGUGUUUCAAUGGUAGGUGUAGAGGGGGUGGUAGGUGUAGGUGUAGGCGAAGGAUAGUAGCCACCACCACCUGGAGUGCUUGGAGUUCCGGGGUCAGCGGUAGGAGUAGGUGGUGUUUCAAUAGUAGGUGCGGAGGGAGUGGAUGGUGUACUAGGGGUACUAGGUGUAGGAGUACUUGGAGUCGGGGAAGGAUAGUAGCCACUUCCACCCCCUGGAG